GGGCAACCGAGUUGUAAUUUGGAGACGGGACACUAGAGAGGAGGAAGGCGAUUAAGUGCCUUGGAACAGGCUGCCGUAGAGGGUGAGAGCCCCGUGAAUCGCUGGAGACCGAUCGAUUAGUGCCCGCCGAAGAGUCGAGUUGUUUGGGAAUGCAGCUCUAAGCGGGUGGUAUAUUCCAUCUAAGGCUAAAUAUUAGCGAGAGACCGAUAGCAAACAAGUACAGUGAUGGAAAGAUGAAAAGAACUUUGGAAAGAGAGUGAAAUAGUACGUGAAAUUGUUGAAAGGGAAGGGUAUUUGAUCCGACAUGGUGUUUAGCAGCGGCCCGUUCCUCGUGGAUGGGUGCACCUGGUUUACACUGGGCCAGCAUCGGUUCUGGGAGCCAUAUACGGGGUUCGUGAAUGUGGCCCUUCGAUUCUGUCGGAGGGUGUUAUAGCGCGGGCAUCUUGUGGCUAGCCGGGACCGGGGACUGCGGUGGC
rnacentral:rRNA from 1 species